GAAAAGUUGUUUUUAACAAUAUUAUCUCUUUUUCACAAAGUCAGAUGCCAUGCAAAAUGCAGACAAAUGAUGGGAAAUUUCUAUUCCAAAACAAAAAUGAAAAGGUCCAUCAGGGUGUCUCCUGGUUUAUGGUUUUGAAGAGUAGCAAAGAGACCCUCUCCAACAUCUUCAGCAACAGGGGCUGUCUCACCUUUGAUUGCAUAUGACAAGAUGAAAAAUCUACAAGGCUCCAACGUUUUCUGUUUACCUCUCUGAUGACGUUGACCUGUUUUAUUAGUGCUGUUUGGGGUACAUGUGUUAGAGGGGUUUUGGGAUGAAGCUCAUGAGGAGAUGAGUUUUCCGUUAAGCUUUGAAGCUUGGAUCAUGCACUACACAUUGCCACUUCCUGAACACCACCAAAACAACUGUUAGCACGAAUCACACUUUUGUUGGAUGGUUUGCUAUUGAUUAUAUACUUAGAGGGAUAGCAUACAUACAUAUAUAUAAUAUAUAUAUGCAUGGAGUCCUUAUGCCUAAUCCAAUAUGCAUUUUUCCAAGGACGUCAAAUUUUACCGAAUUAUUCCUCUAAGCAGUGUAAAAAUUGUAAUGGAAAAAACAAUACCACCAAAACGGACAGUGACCUCUGGAUUCUGAUUUACUAUCAACAAUUUUCCAUGAUUCCUGAGGAUUGGUCAUACUUUCCUAGCACCAGUGCAUCAUUUUUAACUUUUAUCCAAUCUCUAUCAUGAUUUUUUUUUCAAAAUCUUUCCUAACCUCUGUGAGGGAGUAGUAAACUACUCUCUCAGGAACUGUAGGGGUUGGGCGAUAGGUCUGAAAUGAUGGUUUUUCAUUUUAUAUGUGAUUUUAUAAAUACAUGGAUAUGAAAUAAAAAAGAAAAGAUU